rnacentral:rRNA from 1 species
AUCUGGGCGACGGUAUUCAGGAUGGCUGGGCGGGCUGCGCGCUCGUCCGGACGUCUGAUAUUGCCGUCGCCGUGUCGGACGUCGCGACCCGUUGGUCGUCGGCCCUUGCUCGGAGGAAGCGCGAUCGAGUUCGUGGUGCGGUGCGUUUCGGCGUGGCGCGCCGCGAAGACGUGUCUCUCUGGCUGGCGACGGACGGUAGGCAACGGUGUCUGGCGCCGUGUCUCGCACUCGGCGUCGGUGCCGGUCUGCGACGAUUUCUUCGGGCCUCUUUCCGACCCGUCUUGAAACACGGACCAAGGAGUCUAGCAUGCGCGCGAGUCGCGGGGUUUCGAGCGUACCACGGUGCGCUCGUUACUCGCGAAACCCGUAUGUGGAAGGCGUAAUGAAAGUGAAUAGGGAAGAUGGCGUUCCGAGUCCACGUACCGUGAUCGAGUAUCGCGGCCGGACGUCCGCAUUCCCGGGGCGUCUCAAUGGCUCGUCGCGGAUGCGGACGGUCGUCUUUCGGGACGGCCGUCGGUCUGCGUCGGACCGA